rnacentral:lncRNA from 1 species
UAAACAACUCUAUGCAAAUAAAGUAGAAAAUCUAGAAGAAAUUGAUAAAUUCCUGGACACAUACACUCUCCCAAGACUAAACCAGGAAGAAAUCGAAUUGCUGAAUAGACCAAUAACAAGUACUGAAAUUGAGGCAGCAAUUAGUAGCAUACCAAUCAAAAAAAGUCCAGGACAAGAUGGAUUCACAGCCGAAUUCUAACAGAGGUACAAAG